GACGAACGCUGGCGGCGUGCCUAAUACAUGCAAGUUGAGCGCUGAAGGUUGGUACUUGUACCGACUGGAUGAGCAGCGAACGGGUGAGUAACGCGUGGGGAAUCUGCCUUUGAGCGGGGGACAACAUUUGGAAACGAAUGCUAAUACCGCAUAAAAACUUUAAACACAAGUUUUAAGUUUGAAAGAUGCAAUUGCAUCACUCAAAGAUGAUCCCGCGUUGUAUUAGCUAGUUGGUGAGGUAAAGGCUCACCAAGGCGAUGAUACAUAGCCGACCUGAGAGGGUGGUCGGCCACAUUGGGACUGAGACAAGGCCCAAACUCCUACGGGAGGCAGCAGUAGGGAAUCUUCGGCAAUGGACGGAAGUCUGACCGAGCAACGCCGCGUGAGUGAAGAAGGUUUUCGGAUCGUAAAACUCUGUUGGUAGAGAAGAACGUUGGUGAGAGUGGAAAGCUCAUCAAGUGACGGUAACUACACAGAAAGGGACGGCUAACUACGUG
rnacentral:rRNA from 1 species